AGUCCUAUUCUGCAAGCGCAGCGCUGCAAAAAGCCUGCGGCGCUCUGAGGCGCCUGGUCCUGGGGACCUCUUUCCACUCUUUACUCUCAAGAUAGGAGGAUGGGUCUGGGGGAUUGUUUUUGGUUUUCUGGUUUUGUUUUACUCUGGUUUGGUCGGUUUUGUAUUUUUCUAUUUUUCCUUUUUUUCCCUUUUUUCUUUUUUGAUUUUUCUUUCCCGUUAUUCUCCCAGCCAAAAGCUACCUUCGACCCUUUUGAUUUGAUGUAGCAAAGAGUGUGUGUCCAGAUUAUCUGAAAUUGACACUGAAGAAGAUCUUGACCUGCAAGAGCGGACAACAACGUGACUCAGGCUGGGACCACUGAGCCUACCUAGGUCACAGGGAGGAAAAAAGGGACCGCAGAACAGCAGAGAUAGGACCUCCCAACCCUGCGCCAGCUGGCAGCUCCCUGCCAGAGAAGCAGAGACAUCCCUCCUUCCUCCCUUCCCCCAUAAGAGCCAAAGGCUCGAAGGCCGAACCUCCCGCCGCCGUCAGCCCACGGGGGCAGCUCUCAGAGAGCCAGGGAGGAGUUGUGAUGAGGGGAGAACCGGGAUCCAGGCCUUAGCCUGCCAGGGGCUCAGUCCGACCGUGGCUACCGCCUGCGGAAGAUACAGCGCCUGCAUAACACCGAGCCAGCAAUUCCAAUAUCAACAUCAAUAAAAAGAAUCGAAAACCUAGGAAGGAGUGGAGGAAAUUUAUUUGCAACGCGACCCAACUUUUCUAUGCGCCAUCUUUUCUGCCCUUGAGUUGGGACGGACUAAGGAGGCCUCAAGGUUUUGCUGAACUUCUCUUUGGAUUCAAAACCAUUCUUGCACUAGUGUCUGUUUGCUUUCUCCAGCUCUGCUCCAAAUCCCGGACCGGACGUCGGAAACCCGCGCCCGCCGCCGUCAGGAACGCUCACGGGCUCCCCGGAGUCUUACAGAAAGCCGGGAAGGAAGGUCCCGUUUCUUCUCUAAGGUCUGGGACUUGAGAGGUGAGAGGGCGGAGGAAAGGAUCUCCCCCCACCCCCAACCGGUAAGAAGGAGGAGGAGGAGGGAGGCUGAGGCGCGGACCCAGGCCCCGAGUGAUUAGUCACACAAUUUAAAGGCAAAGGAGGGAUUAAGCCCGGAGUCUAUUGUUCCAGUUGUUUAGGCACGUGUGACCUCUGAGUUCCCAAACAAAUCGUCUGGGGAAAUCCUUCCUGCGCCCUAAUCAGAUUGUCCAGGGACAGAGGGCCGGACGGCAGGCAGCUCGGGAUACCGAGAGCAGU
rnacentral:lncRNA from 1 species